UUAUCAGACUUGUUACAAGGUUGUUCUAACAAGUCUGAUACACUGUCAUGAUAUAACAAGAAUGUUACAAGGUUGAUGACACAAGGUUGUAACAAUAUAGUUAUAUCAUGACUGCAUCGGACUUGUUGGAACCACCUUGCAACAAGUAUGAUAA